rnacentral:rRNA from 1 species
GACGAACGCUGGCGGCGUGCCUAAUACAUGCAAGUAGAACGCACAGUUUAUACCGUAGCUUGCUACACCAUAGACUGUGAGUUGCGAACGGGUGAGUAACGCGUAGGUAACCUGCCUGGUAGCGGGGGAUAACUAUUGGAAACGAUAGCUAAUACCGCAUAAUAUUAAUUAUUGCAUGAUAAUUAAUUGAAAGGUGCAAUUGCACCACUACCAGAUGGACCUGCGUUGUAUUAGCUAGUAGGUGAGGUAACGGCUCACCUAGGCGACGAUACAUAGCCGACCUGAGAGGGGGAUCGGCCACACUGGGACUGAGACACGGCCCAGACUCCUACGGGAGGCAGCAGUAGGGAAUCUUCGGCAAUGGACGAAAGUCUGACCGAGCAACGCCGCGUGAGUGAAGAAGGUUUUCGGAUCGUAAAGCUCUGUUGUAAGAGAAGAACGGGUGUGGGAGUGGAAAGUUCACACUGUGACGGUAUCUUACCAGAAAGGGACGGCUAACUACGUG